CUGGAUCGAUGACAUCAUUUCUUCUCGUUGCGUCAUCACACUGGUGAUGUUCUUAUUCUAGAUCUAGUGAUAGUAAAUUAUAUAUAUUCAUAGAACAUAAAAAUAAAAAAUAAUAAAUAAUAAAAUAAAAUAAUGUAAUAAAUAAUUAACUAAACAUAUAUAGAAGUACAAAAUAAUGCGUACCAAAAACAUAAUCUGAAAUAAAAACACAUAGCAAAUGAUGUUGGUCACGUGUGCCAACUCUAGCAAAUACUUCACCGCCCGUCAAAUCCAACCACUUAUAUACACACUCGGAUCAGUUCCUCACUCACCAACAUCCCCAAAUCAAUCCCCAACCAAACACCGCCGCCAACGACCUAGCC
rnacentral:lncRNA from 1 species